rnacentral:rRNA from 1 species
UACGAAGGGUGCAAGCGUUACUCGGAAUUACUGGGCGUAAAGCGUGCGUAGGCGGUUUGUUAAGUCCGCUGUGAAAGCCCUGGGCUCAACCUGGGAAUUGCAGUGGAUACUGGCAAGCUAGAGUGCGGUAGAGGAUGGUGGAAUUCCCGGUGUAGCGGUGAAAUGCGUAGAGAUCGGGAGGAACACCCGUGGCGAAGGCAGCUCUCUGGGACGGUACUGACGCUGAGACGCGAAAGCGUGGGGAGCGAACAGG